UGCCCAGUAACUCCUAUUCCUACCUCCUCGUGGUACCGGCCGGAAACCAUGAGCAACUUAAGGGAAGAUCGGGUAACCAACCCCGGUGGGAAGAUUGGUCAUAGGCUGACAGCGAAAG
rnacentral:ribozyme from 1 species